UAAUAAGAAGCAAAUUAUUGCAUUUAGUUUCGACCUAAAAAUUUGACAUCAAGUCCUUAUUUU
rnacentral:tRNA from 1 species